rnacentral:rRNA from 1 species
UGGGGAAUAUUGGACAAUGGGCGAAAGCCUGAUCCAGCCAUGCCGCGUGUGUGAAGAAGGUCUUCGGAUUGUAAAGCACUUUAAGUGGGGAGGAAGGGCAGUAAGCGAAUACCUUGCUGUUUUGACGUUACCGACAGAAUAAGCACCGGCUAACUCUGUGCCAGCAGCCGCGUUAAUACAGAGGGGGCAAGCGUUAAUCGGAAUUACUGGGCGUAAAGCGCGCGUAGGUGGUUCGUUAAGUUGAAUGUGAAAGCCCCGGGCUCAACCUGGGAAAUGCAUCCAAAACUGGCGAGCUAGAGUAUGGCAGAGGGUGGUUGAAAUUCCUGGGUAGCGGUGAAAUGCGUAGAUAUAGGAAGGAACACCAGUGGCGAAGGCGACCACCUGGGAUCAUACUGACACUGAGGUGCGAAAGCGUGGGGAGCAAACAGG